rnacentral:rRNA from 1 species
GGCAAUCAGGUCUACGUAGGUGACCUGCGGAGGGAUCAUU